AAAAGACAUACUCAAAGAGAAUCAAAGUCAUUGCAAAAAGAUCAAAAUCAGCAGAACUAUGGGAAGAGGAACUGGGAAAGGCAUGGGGCCUAAGCUUGGAAGAAAAAUAGGUUUUUAAGAAAAAGAGGGAAGUUAUGGUGAAGUGACAAGAAUAGUGGACUUGGAAAGAGAAGAUUCUGGAUUCAAAUUCUGGGUUCCUCACUCAUUACCUGGCUGACCUUGGAAUGUUUUAUUUCCUUCAAGUUGAAGGUCAGACAUCACCUUCUACAUGAAGUAUUUCCUGAUGCCCUGCAUUAUAGCUAGUCCCCAAAUGCCUUAUGUUUUAUUUACAUACACAUACAUAUUGGUUUUGUUGUUACACACAUACAUGUGUUUAUAUGCAGAUGAUACAUGUGGAUGUACACACCAAUGAAUACCAAAUAUUCUUCUGUGUUUACAUAAAUAUACACAGCUCCCUGCAUUUAGAAUAGAUAGACAGAGAGAAAUAAUUCCAGAAAUGAUGGAAAUCCAAGUAUCUUUUUCGUGGGACAGCCGGGAGAUCAGCAUCACAGGACUGAAGAGCAAAUGUCAUGAAGAAAGAAGACCAGAAAGACUUUGCUGCUGCUUCCUCAGGGAAGCCUGAACGUCCAGCACCAGUACAGUUAAACGAUAAAGCUGCAAUAUCACGACAAGGAAGUUCUUCGCCGCAAAGAAUACCAGCAUCUGGUUGAUCACUUUAAAAUAGAUCAUUAGAAUGAGACGAAGGACCAGAAAAGGCCCAUCCUGGAUGAAGAGGCUGAUUCCAAUGUUCCACAAGUCAGCACUGUACUGGCAGAAGAAUAAACUGAUGAACCCUUUAGACGUCACAGAUGAAGGGCAGACAAAAUGUUGUACUGUAAACACAAGAUAGGUCUGUUAGGAUACUUUCUAAGGGCACAGACAAUGAUAAAAUAUAAGCCACUAGAAAACAAA